GCUUGUAGAAUGAAUGCCUCACCUUCUCCCUCAAUAAAAAAUUUUUGAGGAACUAUGCCGACCUGCUAGCCCGCAUCCGGAAAUAUCCCUAGGUAGAGGAUGCUCGAGAGCUCUAUAGGUAGGUGGAACGGCAGAAGAUCUCUAGCAAGAAGAGGAGUCGAGAAGAUCCUCGAGUGACUCAGAUCGAGAGAAAAUAUUUCUGACC
rnacentral:lncRNA from 1 species